rnacentral:rRNA from 1 species
CUACGGGAGGCAGCAGUGGGGAAUUUUCCGCAAUGGGCGAAAGCCUGACGGAGCAACGCCGCGUGAGGGAUGAAGGCCUCUGGGCUGUAAACCUCUUUUAUCAAGGAAGAAGAUCUGACGGUACUUGAUGAAUAAGCCACGGCUAAUUCCGUGCCAGCAGCCGCGGUAAUACGGGAGUGGCAAGCGUUAUCCGGAAUUAUUGGGCGUAAAGCGUCCGCAGGCGGCCCUUCAAGUCUGCUGUUAAAAAGUGGAGCUUAACUCCAUCAUGGCAGUGGAAACUGUUGGGCUUGAGUGUGGUAGGGGCAGAGGGAAUUCCCGGUGUAGCGGUGAAAUGCGUAGAUAUCGGGAAGAACACCAGUGGCGAAGGCGCUCUGCUGGGCCAUAACUGACGCUCAUGGACGAAAGCCAGGGGAGCGAAAGGGAUUAGAUACCCCUGUAGUCCUGGCCGUAAACGAUGAACACUAGGUGUCGGGGGAAUCGACCCCCUCGGUGUCGUAGCCAACGCGUUAAGUGUUCCGCCUGGGGAGUACGCACGCAAGUGUGAAACUCAAAG